rnacentral:lncRNA from 1 species
UUCUUAUACCUAACUAACAUAAUUUAAAACUUACCUCUUAUUCCUCUUGCUUAAAGAUAACAUAAUAUAAAAAGAAUACAAAGACACCAUAUAACACUUGACUAAUAUAAAUAAAUUAAUUAAAUCUUAAAAGCUACUUAACAUGUUUGUAUCUUAAAAGCUACUUAACAUGUUUGGACACCUUUUCUUUUUGCAUUGCAUAUUUUUAUAAAAAAUCUUAAGGGCAA